rnacentral:rRNA from 1 species
CCUACGGGGGACUGCAGUGGGGAAUAUUUGGCAAUGGGCGCAAGCCUGACCCAGCAACGCCGCGUGAAGGAAGAAGGCUUUCGGGUUGUAAACUUCUUUUCUCAGGGACGAAGCAAGUGACGGUACCUGAGGAAUAAGCCACGGCUAACUACGUGCCAGCAGCAGCGGUAAUACGUAGGUGGCAAGCUGUAUCCGGAUUUACUGGGUGUAAAGGGUGGGUAGGCGGGGACGCAAGUCAGAUGUGAAAACCACGGGCUCAACCUGUGGCCUGCAUUUGAAACUGUGUUUCUUGAGUACUGGAGAGGCAGACGGAAUUCCUAGUGUAGCGGUGAAAUGCGUAGAUAUUAGGAGGAACACCAGUGGCGAAGGCGGUCUGCUGGACAGCAACUGACGCUGAGGCGCGAAAGCGUGGGGAGCAAACAGGAUUAGAUACCCGUGUAGUC